rfam:Camponotus floridanus CamFlo_1.0_2.contig318, whole genome shotgun sequence.
AUUAAGGCCUUUUUUAAGGCCAUCCUUUUAAAUUAUCUUAUUUUG